AGCGUACACGGUGGAUGCCUUGGCAGUCAGAGGCGAUGAAGGACGUGGUAAUCUGCGAUAAGCGUUGGGGAGCUGAUAAACAAGCUUUGAUCCAGCGAUUUCCGAAUGGGGAAACCCACCAACAUAAGUUGGUAUUCCUUACCUGAAUACAUAGGGUUUGGAAGGCGAACCCGGGGAACUGAAACAUCUAAGUACCCGGAGGAAAAGAAAUCAAUUGAGAUUCCCCCAGUAGCGGCGAGCGAACGGGGACCAGCCCUUAAGCAAUUUUUGGUUUAGUGGAAGACUCUGGAAAGUGUCGCCAUAGUGGGUGAUAGCCCCGUACACGAAAGGCCAAUUAUUGUGAAAUCGAGUAGGACGGGACACGUGAAAUCCUGUCUGAACAUGGGGGGACCAUCCUCCAAGGCUAAAUACUCCUGACUGACCGAUAGUGAACCAGUACCGUGAGGGAAAGGCGAAAAGAACCCCGUUGAGGGGAGUGAAAUAGAACCUGAAUCCGUGUACGUACAAGCAGUGGGAGCCUACUUUGUUAGGUGACUGCGUACCUUUUGUAUAAUGGGUCAGCGACUUACUUUCAGUGGCAAGGUUAACCGACUAGGGGAGCCGUAGAGAAAUCGAGUCUUAAUAGGGCGUCGAGUCGCUGGGAGUAGACCCGAAACCGGGCGAUCUAUCCAUGGGCAGGUUGAAGAUUGAGUAACAUCAAUUGGAGGACCGAACCGACUAUCGUUGAAAAGCUAGCGGAUGACCUGUGGAUAGGAGUGAAAGGCUAAUCAAGCCCGGAGAUAGCUGGUUCUCCUCGAAAGCUAUUUAGGUAGCGCCUCGUGUCUAACCAUCGGGGGUAGAGCACUGUUUGGGCUAGGGGGUCAUCCCGACUUACCAACCCCAUGCAAACUCCGAAUACCGAUGAGUUCAAUCACGGGAGACACACGGCGGGUGCUAACGUCCGUCGUGGAAAGGGAAACAACCCAGACCGUCAGCUAAGGUCCCAAAGUAACAGUUAAGUGGGAAACGAUGUGAGAAGGCCCAGACAGCCAGGAGGUUGGCUUAGAAGCAGCCACCCUUUAAAGAAAGCGUAAUAGCUCACUGGUCGAGUCGGCUCGCGCGGAAGAUUUAACGGGGCUCAAACUGUUCACCGAAGCUACGGGUACUUAACUUUGUUAAGUGCGGUAGAGGAGCGUUCUGUAAGCCGUUGAAGGUGUAUCGGGAGGUAUGCUGGAGGUAUCAGAAGUGCGAAUGCUGACAUGAGUAACGACAAGGGGAGUGAGAAGCUCCCCCGCCGGAAGACCAAGGGUUCCUGCGCAACGUUAAUCGGCGCAGGGUGAGUCGGCCCCUAAGGUGAGGUCGAAAGACGUAAUCGAUGGGAAACAGGUCAAUAUUCCUGUACCCCUUUUGACUGCGAUGGAGUGACGGAGAAGGCUAGGUCAGCGCAGCGUUGGUUGUCUGCGUUUAAGAUCGUAGGCUGGGGAUCCAGGCAAAUCCGGAUCCUCAAGGCCGAGAAUUGAUGACGAGGUUCUACGGAACUGAAGUGAUUGAUGCCAUGCUUCCAGGAAAAACUUCUAAGCUUCAGGUCAGAAGGGACCGUACCCCAAACCGACACAGGUGGUCAGGUAGAGAAUACCAAGGCGCUUGAGAGAACUCGGGUGAAGGAACUAGGCAAAAUGGCACCGUAACUUCGGGAGAAGGUGCGCCGGCUUUGGUGAUCGGACUUGCUCCGUAAGCUGAGGCUGGUCGAAGAUACCAGGUGGCUGCGACUGUUUAUUAAAAACACAGCACUGUGCAAACACGAAAGUGGACGUAUACGGUGUGACGCCUGCCCGGUGCCGGAAGGUUAAUUGAUGGGGUUAUCUUCGGAGAAGCUCUUGAUCGAAGCCCCGGUAAACGGCGGCCGUAACAAUAACGGUCCUAAGGUAGCGAAAUUCCUUGUCGGGUAAGUUCCGACCUGCACGAAUGGCGUAACGAUGGCCACGCUGUCUCCACCCGAGACUCAGUGAAAUUGAAAUCGCUGUUAAGAUGCAGCGUAUCCGCGGCUAGACGGAAAGACCCCGUGAACCUUUACUACAGCUUCACAGUGGAUCUUGAUGUUGCUUGUGUAGGAUAGGUGGGAGGCUUUGAAGCGUGAACGCCAGUUUGCGUGGAGCCAUCCUUGAAAUACCACCCUGGCAAUAUUGAGGUUCUAACCCAGGUCCUGAAACGGGAUCGGGGACAUUGUGUGGUGGGUAGUUUGACUGGGGCGGUCUCCUCCCAAAGAGUAACGGAGGAGCACGAAGGUUGGCUAAGUACGGUCGGACAUCGUACGGUUAGUGUAAUGGCACAAGCCAGCUUGACUGCGAGAGGUACAUCUCGAGCAGGUACGAAAGUAGGUCAUAGUGAUCCGGUGGUUCUGAAUGGAAGGGCCAUCGCUCAACGGAUAAAAGGUACUCCGGGGAUAACAGGCUGAUACCGCCCAAGAGUUCACAUCGACGGCGGUGUUUGGCACCUCGAUGUCGGCUCAUCACAUCCUGGGGCUGAAGCCGGUCCCAAGGGUAUGGCUGUUCGCCAUUUAAAGUGGUACGCGAGCUGGGUUUAGAACGUCGUGAGACAGUUCGGUCCCUAUCUGCCGUGGACGUUGGAAGUUUGAGAAGAGCUGCUCCUAGUACGAGAGGACCGGAGUGGACGGACCACUGGUGUUCGGGUUGUGUCGCCAGACGCAUUGCCCGGUAGCUAUGUUCGGACGGGAUAACCGCUGAAAGCAUCUAAGCGGGAAGCCCCCUUCAAGAUGAGACUUCCCUGGGCACCAGAUGCCCCUGAAGAGCCGUUAAAGACUAUGACGUUGA
rnacentral:rRNA from 1 species